AGAAUAUGAGUGGAAGAUGAGAGGGAGGAGUAACAAAAGUUAUAACAAAAACUAAAAACUGAAAUCCAUUUGAAAUUGUUUUCACUUUCAAGUUAGUUACUCAUCCCUCUCAUCCUCCCAUUCUAACUCU
rnacentral:miRNA from 1 species